UCGAGGAUCUUUCGCAAUGGGCGCAAGCCUGACGAAGCGACACUGUGUGGACGAUGAAGGCCUUCGGGUUGUAAAGUCCUUUCGCGUAAGAACAAGAGAGGUAGAUUAAUAAUCUGCCGAUUUGAGGGUACUACGUAAAGAAGCACCGGCUAACUCCGUGCCAGCAGCUGCGGUAAUACGGAGGGUGCAAGCAUUAAUCGGAUUUACUGGGCGUAAAGGGCGCGUAGGCGGGUUUAUAAGUCAGAUGUGAAAUUCCGGAGCUCAACUUCGGAGCGGCAUCUGAAACUAUAAGUCUAUAGAGGAAUGGCGGAGAAAACGGAAUUCCACGUGUAGCGGUGAAAUGCGUAGAUAUGUGGAAGAACACCUGUGGCGAAAGCGGUUUUCUAGCUAUUACCUGACGCUGAGGCGCGAGAGCAUGGGGAGCAAACAGG
rnacentral:rRNA from 1 species